UACGUAGGGUGCGGGCGUUGUCCGGAAUUAUUGGGCGUAAAGAGCUCGUAGGCGGUUUGUCGCGUCGGCCGUGAAAACUUGGGGCUUAACCCCAAGCCUGCGGUCGAUACGGGCAGACUUGAGUUCGGCAGGGGAGACUGGAAUUCCUGGUGUAGCGGUGAAAUGCGCAGAUAUCAGGAGGAACACCGGUGGCGAAGGCGGGUCUCUGGGCCGAUACUGACGCUGAGGAGCGAAAGCGUGGGGAGCGAACAGG
rnacentral:rRNA from 1 species